UACGUAGGGUGCAAGCGUUGUCCGGAAUUACUGGGCGUAAAGCGUGCGCAGGCGGUUUUGUAAGUCCGAUGUGAAAUCCCCGGGCUUAACCUGGGAACUGCGUUUGAAACUACAAGGCUAGAGUGUGGCAGAGGGGGGUGGAAUUCCACGUGUAGCAGUGAAAUGCGUAGAGAUGUGGAGGAACACCGAUGGCGAAGGCAGCCCCCUGGGUUAACACUGACGCUCAGGCACGAAAGCGUGGGGAGCAAACAGG
rnacentral:rRNA from 1 species